rnacentral:sRNA from 1 species
AUCAAGAAGAGGACAUUUGAGAGAAUCUA